rnacentral:piRNA from 1 species
UGUUCUUUUGAGAUGUGUUGGUUGGAGCCA